rnacentral:rRNA from 1 species
UACGUAGGGGGCAAGCGUUGUCCGGAAUCAUUGGGCGUAAAGCGCGUGUAGGCGGCUUGGUAAGUCCGCUCUGAAAGCCCGGGGCUCAACCCCGGGAGGCGGGUGGAUACUGUCAAGCUCGAGUCCGGAAGAGGCGAGUGGAAUUCCUGGUGUAGCGGUGAAAUGCGCAGAUAUCAGGAGGAACACCAAUGGCGAAGGCGGCCCACUGGGCCGGUGCUGACGCUGAGGCGCGAAGGCGUGGGGAGCGAACGGG